CCUCCUGACAGCUCGCGCACGCGCCCGGCCCGCCUCCCUCCCGAGCCCGCCGCCGGGGCCCCGUCGCCCAGGGGUCCGGAAGGCGUGUCCCCGCCGAUUUUUAAAAAUGACUUAGGAGCCACCGCACUCCGCUCUGGGGCCGGCCACGGGUCUUCGGACAGAGCGGCCCCUGUUACUGCCGGUGCCCUGCGGGGCCUUUGGCUGCUCCUCUGCGCGGAGCCCCGCUUCGCACUUGCCGGUGCUUUUCCCCGGCAGCCAUGAGCGCCGACCCGGGGUCGCCCGGGAUGCGCUUCCCGCACCGCCGGGGAGCCUGGGAGCCCUGCGCGGUGGGCGUGGGGUCCGGCGUAGUGAUGUCUGCGUGCGGUGCAGAUAGGGACGUCGAGUCGAGAGCGACCGAGGAGCUUCGAGUGGCUGGGGCGGUAACCCAGGGGCGCACAACCAGUGAUUUCUAAUCUGAAACCAGUGGUUUCCAACCUGUUCAGCCAAGAAACGCUGAGACGUGAAAUCGCGUUGCAGCUUCGUGGGUACAAACAGAGGCCCUGGGUCCACAGAUGAGUGUUUGGUUCCAACCCAGCUUCCCGCGCGCACUCGCUGGAGGGCCCGGGGACCAGGACUCCACCUCUCCAGGCGCGCAGAGCCCCCGCCUGCCAAACGGAGGUAGCGCACCGUCUCCGGGGGUCUAGGAACUCUUUCCUCCCGAGACUGCGAGAUAUAAAAUAAUCAGAACGGCCAGCCACCUACCUCCCAAGCGGAUUAACGGUGAGGGGCCUGGCCGGUGUGGCUCGGUUGAGCGACGUCCCAUGAAUCAAAAGGUCACCAGUUUGUUUCCAGUCAGAGCACAUACCCGGUUUGCAGGUCUCAGCCCCCGUUGGGGCGUUUGGGGUGCAUACAGGAGGCAACCCAUCAACUGGUUAGUGUUCCUCUCUCCUUCCUCCCUUCCUCUCUCCUUCUAAAAUCAAUAAAAAUGUAUAUUUUAAAUUAAAUAAAUAAAAAUAAAUGUAUUGCUAGGCUCCAAUUUGAUCUCUAGUCUCCUAUACUGUCUUCAUAGAGAUUUGGGUUUGAAAUAUCAACUCUUUUGAUAAGAAAACAAAUGGCAAUUAUACCUUAUUACAACUGGAGAAUAUUAACCCUUUAAUUACUUAAAAUAUGCCCAAUAUUAUUAAUCACAUUAGGUCCAAACUACAAAUUCUGCUACUAGUGGCAACCUUUGGUGGAUCCUGCAAAGUUAGAGGAAAUAGAAAAAAAAAUAAAUGCACUUGACUAAAGAGAACAAGGCUGAAAGCCAGGUUUAGGAGAACAGUUUUUCCGGCCCCUCCAGGCCUUUCCAGCCAAUACCUUACAGUGUAACGCCCCUUGGAAAAUGUUGCCUAGGACAAGCAGGCAGAACUUGUUCUGUUACUGAACAUGUCUGUUUCCAGUUACAGUAGCAGGAGUAUGCAAAUGAUCUUUUCUUGAAACAGAUCAUGCGUCUAAACAGAAUUACCAACAGAGCAGUUUUCACAGAAUUUGAAAACUGUCUAAAAAGUACGUCAUUUUAAGUCUCUGUAUAAUUAGUGUUCCCCCUUUGAUUUCUCUCAAUUUCAAACUAAUGACCGGCACAACCAAACCCCUGAGAAAACUAUACCUCCUCAACCUCGCAGAUACCACUGGUAUGUAACUCUGUAAAACUCACAUAAUGAUUUCUGAGUGAAAAGAAGCAAGGAAUAAGAACCAGCUUUAAGCCCUUAAAAUUUGUUUUCCAGAAACUAAAAGCCAGAAGUCUUCUAUUUUGUAAACUAUUUAAGUGUUUGAUCACUAUUAUAUUAUUAAAUGAAAUUAAGACUAUUCCUGGUCAUUCCGUUUUUAAAAGCCUAUUAUUACAUUCAAAUUUAAAACAAGGGAUUCUCAAAAAUGGUACUUCACUUAAAAAGUAAACAAUAUUUCAAAGCAUUGCAAACUGCCUUUAAAAAUGAAACUGCCCUGACCGGUUUGGCUCAAUGGAUAGAGCAUCGGCCUGUGGACUGAAGGGUCCCAGGUUCGAUUCCAGUCAAGGACAUGUACCUUGGUUGCGGGCACAUUCCCAGUAGGGCGUGUGCAGGAGGCAGCUGAUCGAUGUUUCUCUCUCAUCGAUGUUUCUAACUCUCUAUCCCUUUCCCUUCCUCUCUGUAAAAAAUCAAUAAAAUAUAUUAAAAAAAAAUGAAACUGCACUUAAAAACUACCUUUCCCUUUAACAACCAGUUUCAUACUGAAGUGAGAAUCAGUUAACUGUCUUUGGUAUUUCUCUUGAUACAUAAAAGAAAGGAUCACAUUCCUAGCAUGUUCUUUCAGACUGCUGAUUUUUAAAAUGCUUUCUGGAAAAUUUUAUUUGCUAACACAUUAGUUACUCAGAUUCUGGGCUUUUUAACUUUUUGAAAAAAUUAAAAUGAUAAGAACUAGAAAGCCAUGGUAUAGUGUGAGAAGCACAGGUCCAACUCUGAAGCAGCUGAGGCUCCAGUCCUGGUUACUAAAGGUGCCUGCCAAAAAUUAUGCCACUAUGCCAUGACCUGUUUGGCUCAGUGGAUAGAGUGUGAG